UAAACCCAGAUACCUCAUUCUGCCC
rnacentral:piRNA from 1 species